AAUAUUAGACAAUGUGGGCAACGCUGAUCCAGCAAGGCCGCGUGUGUGAAGAAGGUCCUCGGAUGGUAAAGCCAUGUAAGUUGGGAGGAAGGGGUUAAGGUUAGUACGGUGAAGUUUUGACAUUAUCAACAGACUAAGAACCGGCGAACUUUGUGCCAGAAGCCGCGGUAAUACAGAGGGUGCAAGCGUUAAUCGGAAUUACUGUGCGUAAAGCGCGCGUAGGUGGUUCAGUAAGAUGGGUGUGAAGUCCCCGGGCUUAACCUGGGAACUGCUUUCAUAACUGCUGAGCUAGAGUACGGUAGAGGGUAGUGGAAUUUCCUGUGUAGCGGUGAAAUGCGUAGAUAUAGUAAGGAACACCAGUGGCGAAGGCGACUACCUGGACUGAUACUGACACUGAGGUGCGAAAGCGUGGGGAGCAAAC
rnacentral:rRNA from 1 species